rnacentral:rRNA from 1 species
UACGGAGGAUCCAAGCGUUAUCCGGAUUUAUUGGGUUUAAAGGGUGCGUAGGUGGGAUGAUAAGUCAGAGGUGAAAGCUAGCAGCUUAACUGUUAAAUUGCCUUUGAUACUGUUAUUCUUGAGUAUAGUUGGCGUUGGCGGAAUGUGACAUGUAGCGGUGAAAUGCGCAGAUAUCAGGAGGAACACCGAUGGCGAAGGCAGGUCUCUGGGCCACUACUGACGCUGAGAAGCGAAAGCAUGGGGAGCAAACAGG